ACCUUCCUUGUCUUGGGGAGCAGAAAUGUCCAAUGAACGUAUAGUGAGGACAUUGCUGCUGACACCAAUGAUAUUAACAUCAGCCCCCGUUUGCUGAUCAUCUCGUGAUUAGCUUUCGGAAUUUUUGGAAAA
rfam:Drosophila grimshawi strain TSC#15287-2541.00 scaffold_15074 genomic scaffold, whole genome shotgun sequence.